rnacentral:lncRNA from 1 species
AGUUGAGUUUUCUGGGUACACAGCAGCCCUUGGCUUUCCAUCCCAUGUGCAGCCUCUGGCCCAGCACUUAGUCCACUCUCAGUCAUAGAGCUUAUCACACAGACUUGCUCCAGUGCCCACUUGUCCAACUGCCCCAAACUCCUGGAAACCAGAAAGAACACAGAUGUAUCUCAACUGAGUGCCUACCAUAUUUCUACAGGAGGAACUGUCUUCGCAUAAAAGCCCCUCUGCAGCUCCUUAAGCCCCCACCACCACGGAAGGAAUAUACUUCCUCACCCUGUUGAUAUUGCACUUGGCCACGUGACUUGCUUUGGCCAUGAGAAUAUGUGUGGAAGUCACAGGGGCCAGGCCCAAGGCACAAAGUGUUUCCAUUCAUCCCUUUGAGCAACUGUCCUCGGCCAUGAGAACCACAAGUCCCAGACAGUGGAGGCUCCUUCAGCCUGGACUCCAAAUGAGAAGAUAUAUGAGACAGCCACCUACUCACCCCAAAGCCUGGAGCCCAGCCCAGCUAGCCCCAGAAAGCCCU